rnacentral:lncRNA from 1 species
GGUGCUCAUCAAUCAACUUAAGGAAGUUACUCCAGCUAUACAGAAUUCAGUAUCAGAACUUACAGAGGAAGUAAACAGCUUGUCAUCCAGUCUACUUCCCAUGGCGAAACAUCAUGGUAGAUCAAACUCGCCUAUCCAAGCCCAGAGCAGUGGAAGGACAUUGGUAAUCUUUCUACGGUGCAUUUGACGUUGAUGUCUUAUUCGUUGUUUUGAGUUCUGGAAUUGCUCUCAGAAAAACUAAGUGGCCGAGAAAUAUCUAGGAAAUAGCGCUGAUGAGGUUGCUGAGAUGACGUCCAGAUUGUCAACCAUUCAGCUCGAAAAAGUAUCAGCUAGCCCCCUACUCUUAAACUCCCACCUUUAUUUAGUUUGACACCUAAUUCUGCUGGGAAAGGCGGGAACAUGCAA